ACUACUGGCAUCCUAGAGGAGGAGGGACUGGCGGGGAGAGUUAGUCUGGAGAGUUCACUGGCAGAGGAAAGCUUGGUCCUGGGCCCAGGUCUCGGUGGAACCAUGGGUCGAUCACCAUGGCCAGGAGUAGAGGCCAGGAUUAUUGGAAUUGUUUCCACAAUAUCUAUCAGUGAAGGUUUGAAUUUCUGAAAGCUGCUCGAGCUUCAACACCACAUCAGCAACAAUCAAUAUCUCUCUGCAGCCUCAUAACCGACCGACUUAGAUUCAUGACUCAUAGUCUGUGCUUGACCAUUUUUGUAUUUGUAUGCUUUUAUGUGUUUUUAUUGUUAUGUUUUUGGGCUGAGUAAUGACUCCUAUGACUUGUUCCAAUUUAGGUCUGAAUAGAAAAGGUGAUUGGUGUUAAUAACGUCCAGUGUUAUGAAUAGUAGUAAGGACCAAAUUAAGUAACUCCUCACACAAAAUAAAAUGUGUCCGUUAUUGACAGGCCUAGAGUGCUACCAUGUAGAAAUUGUACGCUCCCACUAUUGGCUAAGAAUGAUGAGUAAGGUUAACUUCAUUGGUCAGGAGAGUAGGGAAGGCGGGAUACACCAGAUAUCAUGAUAAUUAAGGAGGUAUAUAAACGCAGACACUACUGAUACUAGGCGCGUACUAGUUCAGCACCAGUAAAGAGAGAAGGAAAAGAUAACAAUAACAGGAUGAUUUCAACUUUUUCGAAUAAACUGUAAGUUAGUGUUUUUAAGUUGCAACAAGUUGAUUGUUGCAAUUACUGGUCAAAUGUUCUUUUGAUAGCGAGACAAGUCUUGUUGUAACUCACCAUAUAGAGGUCCAAGGCUGUUCCAUAAAACAGUUUUUCUAAUUGCAUUGUAGUCUUGACAUACUGUAUAUGCUAGCAAAUACUAGAACCGAUAUGUCCAUGCAGAUCAAUGUCUUAGGCUAUGUAUCUCUGAAACUCAAUGCAGUGUUUACCCUAUUUUCAAGAGUGUCCUUCAAGCUGAAGUCUAUGCCUUUAUGAUCUUCUUACUACAGAAGAUAUCCCCAAACAACAGAUGAUGCCCUGUACAGCGGUAUUACAGAUGUUGGGUCCUCUGGACAUGGCCGUAAGGCUGUGCUGGAGCCAGUGUCCACCACUGUGCCAACUGUUCUGUGUAUCCUCUCUGAGACCCUGCAUCAGAACCCCCGUGCCAGAGCAGCUCUCCCAGAGCAGGCUAAGUCCUACAGCACUUACCCCAGACAGACAUGUGCCUCUGAAUGAAAGUGGUGAGGAUGAAGUCAAGGCUAAGAGAAAGCAUGUGAUUUUCACUGACUCUAAGGUUUGUCCCUAACUGCAGCCAACAUAUACUAUUAAAUGGUGGAGUGGAUGUACCCACGGUCAUCACGCCCAGAGAGGCGGCGCAACACGACAGAGGAUGGUUCUAGCUGCACUGUCAGCAAAUCUAUUGAGGAGAGCAGGCUGCGACUGGGCUUCCCACAGCCCUCUGCAGACUUCCAGUGUUUCCGUGCCAGGUUGAGGGAGAGCAUGGUUCUCCUGGGGAACUGCAGUGUGAAGAACCAGACCUUCCAGAAGGCUGUGUGAAUCCACAUCACCUUUGACUCUUAGCACAGCCAACCAGACGUGCCCUGUGCUUUCCUGAAAGUGCGCUAUGGUGGAGCUGACACAGACAUCUUUGAAUUUGACAUCACCCUGCCCAUGCUCGAUGAGAAGAUUCAAUUAUUUGUUUUAUCUACCUGAUGAGUACAGCACCCCAUUCUGGGACAAUAGCAAUGGACAGAACUACAGCAUGUUUGUCUUUGACAAGCCUGGGGCAUAACGCUGUGGGGCAUAAUCUGGACAACAGAAAGAUUGCAAUAGGCUACACUGAACUUCACCAUAACAUUUUAUGCUUCGACCCUCAUCUUCACUAAGUUCAUCUGAGGUGAACUGCAAUAUGCUAAAAUGUCAGCUAAAAUAAACUAUUGUUCUGUUUUUCAUAUUUUC